GUAUCAGAAUUGGAGAUCGUGAGGUUUAUCUGAGGAUGUGGAUGCUGAGGUUUAUCUCAGUUAAGCUUUGGAAACUUGAAGGCUUAUUCGAAAUGGAGCCUGCUUAAUGGCGACAGUGAGCAGUAGUACCGCCUCCCCAUCCACCAAACAACUCUUCCUGUCCGAAGGAUUGCAAGGGCCCAUCCUUCUUCCACUUCUUCAGAUCUCGGUUGCAAUCUCCGAUCGCACCUCAGCUGUGUCCAUAAUCCACCUUCUCUUCCUCCUGCUCUGUCGCGUUCUCUCUUGUCGGCGGCCCAUUGAAGCUCUAUUUCCCCUCCAAAGGUCACGUCUUGAUCAACUGCGGUGGCGACGAGAUGACAAGAUACUUUCUCUCUGACACUAUACCUGAUGCUUCGUCAUCCUUCCUGCUUUCGCCCAUUUCUGACGACGUUGUUCGAGCCGACUCAUCCGAUGUCUGCGGCAGCGCUAGGGUUUUUUGAGAAGCAGCCGAAUACAGGUUCCAUAUGAAGCAGAAGGGUCGGCGCUUCGUGAGGUUGUAUUUCUAUCCCAUCAGAAGUUCCCUUUAUGUCAUGAAAUUCGCAGCUUUUUCGAUUAUGGCGAAUGCUUAUACUCUCCUGCGUAACUUUUCUUAUUCAAAGACGGAUCUUGGUAAUAAUGCAUGUUAAAAGAAUACAUAUUCGAGUUAGAGCGUCUAUUGAUCAAAAUAGUUCCUUCGAAUGUUUCCAUCGCGUUCCUUAAUCUCAUAGAAAUCUUUUCGCUGCGGGAUGAUCUGAUACCUUCUGUUGCGUCCGUUGAGAUUCCAUCUCAUGUGGGAUGCAAGAUUGCAUUUACCAUCAAUGUGGGCGGUCCAAUUUUGGAUUCAAGUAAUGAUUCUUUAUGGAAACUAUGAGAGAAUGAUCAUCCAUUCUUGGUCAUUCCGACUUCUGUGCAGAACGCCUCAACUGAUCCCAUUUUGAUCAGAUAUACAUCGGAAAUCCUCUGACACGACACAUGAAACAGUAAAUGCAAUAUAGUCACCAGAAUUUCAACAUCUCUUGUCUGUUUUUGGUAGAAUUGGAAUUUCAAUAUUGCGGUUUCAUUUUUGUGAUUUUAUUACAACAGCAGCAAAUCUUCUGUUCGGCGUCUAAAUCAACAAUCAGUCUGCAUUAAGCUCCUUUGAUAUAUCAAACAAAGUUGGGAUAUUGAAAGCUUACUUUGUGGAUUUUAUUGCUGAUGUUCAAAUGUCUAUUCAGAUAGGAUUUUGAUUCAAAUAGGAACUUCUCAUGAUCUGAUGAACUUACCAGCUAAUGCAAUUAUUCUUGAUGGUCUGGAGAUCAUGAAAUUCAGAAGUUCAGACAUUUGUCUUUGCAGUAAGCCUGGUUGGAAUGCUGUUUCUACUUGUCAUUGUGGCAAUACUUGGCUUGUGCUUCAGAUAAGGUACAAAAAAGAAUCAGAUUUGGCUUGGUUUCUUUUGGCUGUAGCUUCAACUACUCACUCAGGCAACUCAGAUUGUAAUGUAUUGUCAGUGCCUUCUCAUGGUGUCAACCAGUUACUAGACUUUUCAGAGAUAUGAGAAGCAACCAAGAACUGUGAUGAAUGGUUGGUUGUCGGCAUUGACAGAUUUGGAAAGGUGUACAGAGGAGUAUUUGGAAAAGGACUCAUGGUGGCAGUGAAAAGGUGAAACCCCGGAUCUCAACAAAGUUUAAAUGAGUCGAGGAGAGAGAUUGAGAUAUUAUCCAAGCUUCCACAUCGCCAAUUGGUAUCUCUUAUAGGUUAUUGCCAUGAAGCUAAUGAGAUGGUGCUCGCUUAUGAAUUUAUGGCUAGGGGGCCCUCUAAGCAAGCACUUAUAUGGGGGUCAGACCUUCCAGCGCUGCCACUGAAACAAAGGCUUAAAAUAUGCAUCGGGAGGUGCUAAAGUUUUGCAUUACCUUCGUAUAAGUUACUGAGACUAUCAUCCACAUAGAUGUUUAGACAACCAACAUUCUCCUUUAUGAGAAUUUGACGGUUAAGGUAGCUGAUUUUGGUUUGUCUAAGAUAGGUCAUUCACUAGACCAGACUCAUGGGAGUGCAGCAGUAAAGAGAAGUUUUGGCUACCUCGAUCCUGAGUAUUUUAGAAGGCAGUUGCUAACAGAAAAUUCGGAUGCGUAUGCUUUUGGAGUGGUUCUCCUGGAGGUAUGUGUGUAAGGCCUGUGAUCAACCUAGCACUACGAAGAAAUCAGGUUAACAUAGUUGAGUGGACGAUAAAUUGCCAAAAUCUUGGUCAGCUCGAGCAGAUAAUUGAUCCUUUUCUUUCAGGGACUAUUACUCUUGAUUAUCUUGUGAAAUUUGGUGGAGCAACGAGAAAUGCCUAGCAGAAUACAGUAUGAAUCUCCAACAAUUUGCAAUAUGCUCUAUAGCUGCAGCAGGAAUUUUUUUUAGCAUACUUGGUGAUGGAGGCCGUAAUAACUGUAUGCAGGACCUCCAAGAAUUUAUUUCACAAGUGGAGAAUAUAUAAAAUGAGCAUGAUAUUGUCAGGGUCUCCAGUGAUGUUACGGAUUUUGCAACAAGUUCAGUGUUCUCAUGGCAAAAAAAUCCAAGAGGAAUGUAGCUGAUUCAAUAUGGUCAAACUCACUGGUCCCUUCAGGAAAUCAGAGGAGUAUGUAUUUGAUUCUUCCUUAGAUUUCUCACUAACGAGUAUGUUAGGAGAACUGUGAGCCAAAUUAUUUGCACUCGUCACAACUUUUUGGCUGAGAGAUGAAGAAUUGUGAGCAAUGGCAGAAACUGGAGGAACUUGAAACUGGUGCAGAGGUGGAGGAUUACGCCACUGAGGGAGUGGCCCUGCUAAGAGGAGAGUCUGCAGCAGAGGGCCUGCUUCCAGAACUGCUUGCAGCAGAUUCCCCUUCUGUGGCAACGGCUUAGUAACGAGGCCAUUGAUGACGGCAGAAGCCAUAUCUUGUUCACGUUCUUGGCACUGCAACUUCAUACUUGGUAAUUCUGGAGAAGCAGCCACAUUGAAAAGAGAAUGCCGAGGAGAACCGCCAUAAGAAGGAUCCUUCUUGGGGGUGCCAGAAAGGCUGUCAGAUUCAGUGAUACUGGAACUGGCUCUCGUCUGCCUCAUAGGUGGGCUCUCUGGCUGUGUGAUCUUUGUGAUCAAAAGCUGUAGCUGUUCUCUGGCCUCAUCUCGCUCGUGAGUGAUCACUUGAAGCAGCUGCAACAACUGGUUAAUGCUCUCCUCGUUCUUUUUCAUCUCUUCCUUGGCAUUAGUGCGGAGUGAUUCCAGUUCCAAGGUAGCACAUAGAAGCUUGUGCUUUAAUUCCUCCACGCUCUGCUUAAUCAAGGAAAAAAAGGCAGAUCAAGUCAGACCAAGCAUAGAUUUGAUUAUCACAAGAUGAUUUAUCACACACUUCAUGGACCAGGCGAGAAGAAAAUUAAAAGUUAAAUCAAAUUAUGGGAACAGAAUGAUUGGCUGCAGAGAAUCUUUGCUGCACAUAAAGACCAAAGUAACACAGAGAGCAAGCAGAAGUUGGAUCAUUACUUCAGGACCCAGUUCUACACGGUCACAUCUUCAGGAACAAGAGAAAACAGAAGAGCAGACUGCGUCACGGCAAAUAAUGGUUAUAAAUCAGGAUCACCAGUGUAUUAAGAAGGGCGAGGCCUCGGUGAAACUUAGCAAGAGAAGAGAAGACAGGAAGAAGGAGAGAUCACCUCAUGAAAACCCCAAACAGG